rnacentral:lncRNA from 1 species
GCCCCUCUUGGUCAUAGAAUCGAACAUCUUUCUAGCUUCCGUGCAUCUUCCGUUCUUGCAAAGAUAAUCCAUGAGCGAGUUAUAAGUAACAACAUCUGGUUCGACACCAUCACUAUCCCCCUCCUUGAAGAAGCCAUUGAUGACAGUGGUAUACGACACCACAUCAGGUGGGCAGUCACCUCCAUCAUCAGGCAUCAUUUGGAGCAGCUCGAGAGCUUCUUGGCUUCUGUUCUCAUCACACAGCCCCUUGAGAAGAAUAUUGUAGGAGAAGACAUUUGGUAUGCAGCCAAGCUGGGUCAUUCUGCGGAGCACUAUGUCCAUUGCGUCGCUCGUCCUCUUGUCAGCACAGAGGCCCUUGAGCAGAGGAGUGAAGGCGAUGGCGUCCACUCUAAAUCCCUUCUUAAUGACAUUGCCCAAGGCCGCGAAACCGAGGUCCAAGCGGCCCGCGCAGCAGCAGGAACCGAUGAGAAUGCCGUAGGUGCACAAGUUGGGAGUUACCUCGUCGGCGCCGGCUCGGGCCAUGCGGUUGUAGCGGGACACGGCGGCCGCGGGGCUGUGACGCGCGACGUCGGCGAGGGCGCAGUUCAAGCCGUAGAUCGAGGCGCCCCUGCCACGCCGGAGCAAUUCGUCGAACACGUGGCGUGCGUCCUCGGCGCCACUGCCCCCCCGCGACGGCCGUGGCUCGCUGGUGCCAGCGCGAGCUGUCCCAUGGCGCGGCCAGGCCUCGGUAGCCGGGCGGCCGUCGCGGUGCCCUUAGCGGCCAGCUGGGCGGCGCGACGCAGCCAGGAGGGGCGCGGAGACCAGGCAAAGGGGGUGCAGGUGGGUGGCGCCGGAGCCGGAGCGACAGCGUAUCCGGCAUUGGCGCAGGCCCAGAUGGUAGUGCAAAGGGAGCUGGAGUCGAUGGGUUGUCUUCCUCGUUGCCGGUCGGCACCCUCGCCCUUCCUAGAGCUCAUCCCCUUCUUUUGCGGGGAGUUUCUAGGUUGGAUUGAGACAGCAGCUCGCCAGCGGGGGAAGCUCAGGCUGCCGAAGCAAUGUCACCCAGUCCCGGGUUCUCCUUUGGCCAAAACUGGCAAGGCGGCCGGCGGGUGGUGGAACGGAGGGGUCCUGGGCCAGCUCUCAGGGAUGGUGGUUCGAUGGAGUCGGCCGACGAAGGGGCGUCGGUGCGGUGUGGUGGAAGCUACGUGCUACCUUUUGUCUGUGUGGUGGUUCUGA